CAUAAAAAAUCCUUAAAUGAGGAAUGAUCAGCUUAUUAGCUAAUCCACUGUUUAGGCUUAAUAAGCCGUUGAUAAGAACCAUGAUUUAUAAACGUUUAUUAGGGGCUUCUUAACUAAUAAGCAGAUUAGACGCGUUAUGUUGGCAUCUUGGCACAUCAUAGACAAAAAUAUGGCUGAACAUUAAUUUAAAAAAAAAAGUUUGACAGCAGCACUAGCGGCCAAUCGUAAUAUCAUGAAAAAGUUGAUUUACUAUUUUGACUAAUUUUCGGAAUUAUCUCAUAUUAAAAUAGCUUCUGUGCCACAAAAAUAAACAAAGAUUGCUGCAUGGCCGGUAAUUUUAUAAAACUUGUUUCAAUAUUAUGUGGAAUGGAGUCGAAAGAAGUGGGGUUCUAGCCGAAGUGCAUAAUUAGCGAAAAGAAGAAGUCGAAGCCAGAUACCGUACCAGGCCUCCAGUCGCCUCCGCAAGAAGAACCAUUGAAUAAUGGUUCAUGAGUUCACACUAAUUUAUUCUGGUUGCGGCAGAAAUUCACAACGGGUCAACAAAACCAAGGUCCAUUCAAACUCACUAAAUCAGGUAUGAACAAUGUCCUAUACUUUCUUGUUUACCUCAUACCUGCAGUGUUUAGAGUUAGACCAAGAAAAGUCUGCAGCGAUUUUGAUGAUAACUCUAGGUACAGUUCAAAUUUUGGGCAUGACCAUCUAUUUAUAAUAUAUUAUAGACAUAGGUAACUACAUAAAAUGUUGUAUCUGAACGUGUUAACAAUGACACUUGCAUUGACAGCUUUGACAUUAUUUAAAGGUUAUAAAACUUAUAAAUUUGGUAAAUCUAUCCGUGCUUUGUGGAGCUUGGUGUAUUUGUUUAAAAUUAUGCAUACCUACCUAAUAUAGGUAUUAUAUUUCUUAACCAUACAAUGGAACCAAAUGAUAAUUAUAUGUACAAGUGAUGUUUUAUUGUAACAAGCCUUUGUGUCGCGAGUUUACUUAUCCUGAAAGUACCAUCUUUAGCCACUGUUACUGUUGAAUAACUCCAGGCUUUGGAAGAAAAGCUGUGGCCUGCGAACAGCUGUGAAUAUAGGUCGGAGAAGUGUAACUGACUCCGUACACUGCAAGUCCCAGCAGGAAAUCAGCAAGAAACCUAAAAGAAAAAAAAAACAUCAAAAUGGAAACCUUGAUUUAGGUUGAAGUAAUAAAAUUGUUCUAAUUUAA